UUUAAGCCAUAUCACUCAGUGGAGGAAGCGCAAGCAACAGCGAUUGCUGCAGUAAUGGCGAAUGAAGGAGCAUCUCCAGUGCUCCAUCCGGAAGUGAGUGAUCAGACAACACGCCCUGGGGCAACCGCAGGUGCGAUCGGCUAUCGUGGAUUCUAGCAAAUGCUGUGGGCUGAGGGCCGGGAGGCCAGCGGCCGCGGUGGUCAUGGCGCCAGGAAGAGCCCUGGAAAGGGCCACAAUCGAGGGAUACUGUCCCCCAUGCUGGCUGUGCGCCGUGACCCACCGUGGUGCUGUCGACCGGACCCACGAGUAGAGUGGCUUGGGACUGCAGUUUGAAGUGCGAGGUGUAUCCAUCGCAAGGAAGUAUACCGACCUGGGACCGAUAGCGCACAAGUACAGUGAUGGAAGGAUGCAAAGAACUCCGUGAAGAGGGUUAAAAGUUCCUGAAGCCUCGGCAGGAACAGUGGCGAGUGAUAUGCUGUGGCUCCCGACCGGACAGGCGACCCCCGUUCCGUCCCCUCAACCAGGGCGGCGACGGUGGGUGUGCGGUCUCCGGUCGACGUCUCCGUGUAGUGGUUUCCCAAGCGACCUCGGGCCAGCCCCGGACCUGCCACUGAGCCUCCGUCCCUGGGGACGGGGAUCGCAGUCGUGGUGGUCUCGUGUGGUGGCACCCUGCCUGCCAGGGCCCGAGGCCUGCAGUGAUCGUGUCUCGAAGGUGCAAAAUGCAACACAGAAUCUCAACCAGGGCCAAUCGAAAGAGAGCAACCCCAAGCAGCUGGGGAGUAGUGGGGACGUGCGCAGCCAGGCCGUGGUCGACCCGUCGUUCGCAGUGUGGUCCCCCCAGCGGGGCGCGACGGAGGGUUCGCACCACCGCCCUGGGGUGAGAGGCAGUCCGCAGAGAGAGAGCACACCAAGGACGUUGUGGAUGUGCGCGUGUGGCUGGCUUGGGCAAGGCUUUCCAGCGGAUGGACAGAGUGCAAGAGGACAGAGCGCAGAUCAGCACGCUGAUCCCUGGCAUGCCUCCGGGCGUGCCAGUCACCGAGGCUCCCCUGUGGUGGGGUCGGUGGUCCCACGGUGACUGCACCAGCCUGCUGGUGGUCGCUGCGGUUGGCCAGUCCGAUCCCCCAGUGGGAGCGCGGUGCAGACAGCAGUGGAGCUUGGCCUUGGCUUCGUGCCUCGACAGUGCCGCUCCCUGCCCGUCUUGAAACACGGACCAAGGAGUCUAUGGAGCCCGCGAGUCGUACGGUGCCCGUCGAUCGAAACCCCAGCGCAUGGUGAAAGCAAAAUCGUCCCAGUAUUGUGUCGGGAGUGAUCCCGGUUCUGCAUGAGAUUACCGGAUCCGGAGUCCAGUGGACAGGGUUUCGAGUGCUUGCGAGGUCCAUGGGACCCGAAAGGUGGUGAACUAUACCGUUCUACGACGAAGCCAUGGGAAACUGUGGUGGAGGUCGGUCGCUGUUCUGACGUGCAAAUCGUGUAGCCUGAGCGCGGCAUAGGGGUGAAAGGCCAAUCGAGCCACCUAGUAGCUGGUUCCCUUCGAAGUUUCCCUCGAGAUAGCA
rnacentral:rRNA from 1 species